UAGGGAAUCUUCGGCAAUGGACGAAAGUCUGACCGAGCAACGCCGCGUGAGUGAAGAAGGUUUUCGGAUCGUAAAACUCUGUUGUUAGAGAAGAACAAGGACGUUAGUAACUGAACGUCCCCUGACGGUAUCUAACCAGAAAGCCACGGCUAACUACGUGCCAGCAGCCGCGGUAAUACGUAGGUGGCAAGCGUUUCCGGAUUUAUUGGGCGUAAAGCGAGCGCAGGCGGUUUCUUAAGUCUGAUGUGAAAGCCCCCGGCUCAACCGGGGAGGGUCAUUGGAAACUGGGAGACUUGAGUGCAGAAGAGGAGAGUGGAAUUCCAUGUGUAGCGGUGAAAUGCGUAGAUAUAUGGAGGAACACCAGUGGCGAAGGCGGCUCUCUGGUCUGUAACUGACGCUGAGGCUCGAAAGCGUGGGGAGCAAACAGG
rnacentral:rRNA from 1 species